UACGUAGGGCGCGAGCGUUGUCCGGAAUUAUUGGGCGUAAAGAGCUCGUAGGCGGCUUGUCGCGUCGGAUGUGAAAGCCCGGGGCUUAACCCCGGGUCUGCAUUCGAUACGGGCAGGCUAGAGCUCGGUAGGGGAGAUCGGAAUUCCUGGUGUAGCGGUGAAAUGCGCAGAUAUCAGGAGGAACACCGAUGGCGAAGGCAGGUCUCUGGGCCACUACUGACGCUGAGAAGCGAAAGCAUGGGGAGCGAACAGG
rnacentral:rRNA from 1 species